rnacentral:rRNA from 1 species
UACGAAGGGGGCUAGCGUUGCUCGGAAUUACUGGGCGUAAAGCGCACGUAGGCGGCUUGUUAAGUCGGGGGUGAAAUCCUGGAGCUCAACUCCAGAACUGCCUUCGAUACUGGCGAGCUCGAGUUCGGGAGAGGUGAGUGGAACUGCGAGUGUAGAGGUGAAAUUCGUAGAUAUUCGCAAGAACACCAGUGGCGAAGGCGGACUCAG